rnacentral:lncRNA from 1 species
UGCUUCCAAGAAGAGAGAAGCUCCUAAGCCUUUGAGAGGACUCCAAUUUGGGAGCAACGGCGGUCGCCAUGGGCCGAUUCCAGAAGAAGAAGCGAAGGGGAAGGCGAUAAGGAGGAAGCAGGAAGAGGCGACGGAAACCCAGCCCUUUCUUGUCGGAUUCCGAAUUGCCGGAGAUUAAGAGGAAACUAUCGAGGUCCCUAAGCUGUGCUUCAAUCGCGCAUAGGUUCUCAGAACUAUAUUGAAGUCCAUAGCGGCUUACUUGCAAAUAACCCGCUGCGUUGCGGAAGUUGGCUUAAUAUUAGAGGGCUUG